rnacentral:misc_RNA from 1 species
GAUGAAGAACGUAGCAAAAUGCGAUACUUGGUGUGAAUUGCAGAAUCCCGUGAACCAUCGAGUUUUUGAACGCAAGUUGCGCCCGAAGCCUUUUGGCCGAGGGCACGUCUGCCUGGGCGUCACGCAUCGCGUCGCCCCCCACAAUUCUCCGUAAAGGGAACAUGUGUUUUGGGGGCGGAUAUUGGUCUCCCGUGCUCAUGGCGUGGUUGGCCGAAAUAGGAGUCCUUUCGAUGGACGCACGAACUAGUGGUGGUCGUAAAAACCCUCGUCUUUUGUUUCGUGCUGUUGCUCGCAAAGUAAACUCUUUAAAAACCCCAAUGUGUCGUCUCUUGACGACGCUUCGACCGCGACCCCAGGUCAGGCGGGACUACCCGCUGAGUUUAAGCAUAUCAAUAAGGGAGGA